AAAGGAAUUGACGGGGGCCCGCACAAGCGGUGGAGCAUGUGGUUUAAUUCGAAGCAACGCGAAGAACCUUACCAGGGCUUGACAUCCCCGGACAGCUGUGGAAACACAGUAUCCCUUCGGGGCCGGGAGACAGGUGGUGCAUGGUUGUCGUCAGCUCGUGUCGUGAGAUGUUGGGUUAAGUCCCGCAACGAGCGCAACCCUUGUUGUUAGUUGCCAUCAUUAAGUUGGGCACUCUAACGAGACUGCCGGUGACAAACCGGAGGAAGGUGGGGAUGACGUCAAAUCAUCAUGCCCCUUAUGUCCUGGGCUACACACGUGCUACAAUGGUCUGUACAGAGGGCAGCGAAAGGGUGACCUGGAGCGAAUCCCAGAAAGCAGAUCUCAGUUCGGAUUGCAGGCUGCAACUCGCCUGCAUGAAGUCGGAAUCGCUAGUAAUCGCAGGUCAGCAUACUGCGGUGAAUACGUUCCCGGGCCUUGCACACACCGCCCGU
rnacentral:rRNA from 1 species